AACGAACGCUGGCGGCAGGCUUAACACAUGCAAGUCGAACGCAUCCUUCGGGGUGAGUGGCAGACGGGUGAGUAACGCGUGGGAAUCUACCCAUCUCUGCGGAAUAGCUCCGGGACACUGGAAUUAAUACCGCAUACGCCCUACGGGGGAAAGAUUUAUCGGGGAUGGAGGAGCCCGCGUUGGAUUAGCUAGUUGGUGGGGUAAAGGCCUACCAAGGCGACGAUCCAUAGCUGGUCUGAGAGGAUGAUCAGCCACAUUGGGACUGAGACACGGCCCAAACUGCGACGGGAGGCAGCAGUGGGGAAUAUUGGACAAUGGGCGCAAGCCUGAUCCAGCCAUGCCGCGUGAGUGAUGAAGGCCUUAGGGUUGUAAAGCUCUUUCACCGAUGAAGAUAAUGACGGUAGUCGGAGAAGAAGCCCCGGCUAACUUCGUGCCAGCCGCCGCGGUAA
rnacentral:rRNA from 1 species